rnacentral:rRNA from 1 species
GAUGAACGCUGGCGGCGUGCCUAAUACAUGCAAGUCGAGCGAACAGAUGAGGAGCUUGCUCCUCUGACGUUAGCGGCGGACGGGUGAGUAACACGUGGAUAACCUACCUAUAAGACUGGGAUAACUACGGGAAACCGGAGCUAAUACCGGAUAAUAUAUUGAACCGCAUGGUUCAAUAGUGAAAGACGGUUUUGCUGUCACUUAUAGAUGGAUCCGCGCCGCAUUAGCUAGUUGGGAAGGUAACGGCUUACCAAGGCAACGAUGCGUAGCCGACCUGAGAGGGUGAUCGGCCACACUGGAACUGAGACACGGUCCAGACUCCUACGGGAGGCAGCAGUAGGGAAUCUUCCGCAAUGGGCGAAAGCCUGACGGAGCAACGCCGCGUGAGUGAUGAAGGUCUUCGGAUCGUAAAACUCUGUUAUUAGGGAAGAACAAAUGUGUAAGUAACUAUGCACGUCUUGACGGUACCUAAUCAGAAAGCCACGGCUAACUACGUG